rnacentral:tRNA from 1 species
GGCCGCUUGGUCUAGGGGUAUGAUUGCCGCUUUGGGUUGUGAUCUUUGAUCACUCUGAUUGCGGCAGGUCCCGGGUUCGAUCCCCGGAGCGGCCC